UACGGGGGGGGCAAGCGUUGUUCGGAAUUACUGGGCGUAAAGGGCUCGUAGGCGGCCAACUAAGUCAGACGUGAAAUCCCUCGGCUUAACCGGGGAACUGCGUCUGAUACUGGAUGGCUUGAGUGUGGGAGAGGGAUGCGGAAUUCCAGGUGUAGCGGUGAAAUGCGUAGAUAUCUGGAGGAACACCUGUGGCGAAAGCGGCGCACUGGACCACAACUGACGCUGAGGCGCGAAAGCUAGGGGAGCAAACAGG
rnacentral:rRNA from 1 species